rnacentral:tRNA from 2 species
GGGCCCGUAGCGCAGUUGGGAGCGCGCCUGGAUCGCACCCAGGAGGUCGGCGGUUCGAUCCCGCCCGGGUCCA